rnacentral:ncRNA from 1 species
UAUUUGUUGUGCCAAACUUGUUGUGAAGCAGGGACGGAAAGCCAUGGGUCUUAAUGCUAAGAUCGCCAGGUUGCCAAA